ACAGCUACGCUUCUGGGUGUUACUUCUAUAUGUUUUUAUACCUCACAGGGCAAUAGAGUCUUUAUGAAUUCUGCCUGCUGGGCCCAGAAGUAAGAGAGAUUCUGAUCAUGUCACUACAAUGCUCACGGCCGCCACUGGGGACCAGGGCCAAAUAUACAGCCCAGGUGCCUAUAGGCACCAAAAUAUGAAGAACCUCAGCGCUCCCCACUGUGCCGGCAUCCUUAACCAAGAUGGCCAACGGCAGUGAAAUAACCGCACCUCUCUGGGCCCCAAACCUUCAUCAGGGGUGUUUAAGCUGGUCCUAUACAGGCCUGGAAUCCUCAACCUCGAAUAAUGGAUCACGCUGCUUGGACUGGUGCUAACAUCAUGGAGAGAUCCAAACGUUUUUCUGGGGCUACAGGGAGGUUUGAUGAAGAGGAAAAUCGAUCAGGAAAGAAGAGGGGGACAGCAGUUGCAUCAGCUGGUGAUACAGUGGUUGUCUGUGACCCCUUUAUUAGUUCUACACUGACUUCUAUAUCUGUCUCUAUCCCUUCCCCUGCAGUAUCAUCUGCUGCUGGGGCCUUUCCUGUAGCUGCUGAUUUUCUGCCUAUUUACUCUAUCCCUGUCACUAGCUCUUCUCCUGGUCCUAUUUUCUCUGCCCCGGUCUCCCUUCCUAGUCUUGUCACUUCUGCUUAGGUCUCUUUCCCUUAUCUGCCUUUAACUUUAAAGCCUCUUGAUUUUCCCACCCGCUUUUCUUUCCCUACUGGGGCCGGUCUGUCCCUCUCUGCCCCUAGCUUUUUUCCUCCUCAGUCGCUGGGGGCAUCAUUUGCUUCUGACCCUGGGGGGAAGCCAGCAGACGAUCUGCUGCUGCAAUCACCAGAGCUCCGCUUUUCACAGCGGAGCCCGGUGAGAUCCCCUUCACCUGCGGUUAUCUUCUGGCCGCAUGGCAUGGAGGGUGGCCCUGGUGCUCCGUUUAUGGAGCCACAUGGCCUCCGGCGUCUCCCUUCUCCUGUGCCUGGUCCCACGUGCGCGCCUGGCUUAGCUCCGCCCACCUCUGCCCCGGCCGCCAUUUUGGUUUCAGGGGCAUGGAGCAAUCAGCAUGUGGAUGCGGCGGCUGAGGCGGGCGUUAGCGUGGGUCCGGUCGCAGGAGAAGCAGGACCUGCUAAGGUAAAGGGAGCACCCCAAAGCAGCAGGGGGUCCCACGGGUCUCUUACCCGUCCCGA